rnacentral:rRNA from 1 species
AAAUCUGCCGAGUAGCGGGGGACAACGUUUGGAAACGAACGCUAAUACCGCAUAACAAUGAGAAUCGCAUGAUUCUGAUUUAAAAGAAGCAACUGCUUCACUACUUGAUGAUCCCGCGUUGUAUUAGCUAGUUGGUAGUGUAAAGGACUACCAAGGCGAUGAUACAUAGCCGGCCUGAGAGGGUGAACGGCCACNCUGGGACUGAGACACGGCCCAGACUCCUACGGGAGGCAGCAGUAGGGAAUCUUCGGCNAUGGGGGCAACCCUGACCGAGCAACGCCGCGUGAGUGAAGAAGGUUUUCGGAUCGUAAAACUCUGUUGUU